rnacentral:rRNA from 1 species
AGAGUUUGAUCAUGGCUCAGGACGAACGCUGGCGGCGUGCCUAACACAUGCAAGUCGAGCGGAGACAGUGAGUAGCUUGCUAUGAGCUGUUUUAGCGGCGGACGGGUGAGUAACGCGUGAGCAACCUUUCCCAGACAGGGGAAUAACACACCGAAAGGUUUACUAAUACCGCAUAAGACCACGGGAUCACAUGGUUCUGGGUAAAGAUUUAUCGGUUUGGGGUGGGCUCGCGUCCGAUUAGGUAGUUGGUGAGGUAA